rnacentral:miRNA from 1 species
UUGGAAUGGCCAAAAUGUUUGUUUGGGUUUUACUGUGAAAUGUUGUGGGAAAAGCUGAAUGAAAUUUUUGGUGAAUCCAAU